UCAAUUUGAUGAAAGAGAGAAGAAAGUGACGUAUCCCUUUAUUCUCUUCAUUAUCUUUUGACAAAUUAUGGUUUUGUGCAUGAGAUAGUCUUGCCUGCUGGUGACUAUUCCUUUGCUAAGAAUAACAAGGUAUGUACAAAGUAACCUUGAUCAACUGUGCUCGGAAGGUGGCCUCUCUUCUUAAUCUGAGAGUAGCAUUGAAUGUGAAGGCAACAGCACUGUCCGUCACGUCGUAAAGCUGUAUACUUCUCUCAUCUUAUUGCUAGAUGCUUUUAUAUUUCAAUACAUGAUUAUACAUCAGGAUACAGGUUGGUAUUUUGAUAUUAACUUUACUAGGAAAAAAAAAAACAAUUGAGGUUGUUAUACUUGAUUGAUAUCUAUACUGCAUAAGGUAAACUAUACUGACCUCUGAUGGGGUUAAGUGAAGUACGUACGCUACCUCCUUGCAUUGCGAGAACUUACCUUGACCUUCCUUAUCUACUAGGUGCUAGAAGUUCUCAGCUAAACUGAUCUAAUGGUAGGUGCCAAGGUGGUUUGGCAUUGGAGGUAGAAGUUUAAUUUUCUGAUGAUUUUCACCUUAAUCUAUUGGAGGGUCCUCAAGAGUCAAGACUCAAGAGGUUUAGUCUACCUGGCACGCUUCCACCUCAACUGGUGAAACUACAUUACCUUAGAUAAAUUGAUUUGGUUUACAAUUAUCUUAGUGGUACAAUACCAGCAGAAUGGGGUUCAAUGCAGUUAACUUCAAUCUCUCUUGUUGUAAAUCGCUUAUCAGGGGAGAUGCCAGUGGAGCUGGCAAAUAUUACCACUCUCAGAUACCUGAGUCUUGAAGAGAAAUACAUGGGAGUGGGCUUCGUGGACCUAUCCCGUGUAUCAUAUCUCUCCUGAGUAAUUUAGAACAGUUGAGGAUUAGUGAUAUAAAUGGAACAGAGCAGGAUUUUCCUAUGUUGAAAAACAUGACUGGCCUAGUCAAAUUGAUACUGAGAAACUGUAACAUUUCUUGAGAGAUCCCUCCUUACCUAUGGCUUCUGCAGAAACUGGAAAUGCUGGAUCUGAGUUUUAACAAGUUGAUAGGAGAAAUUCCAACAACAAUUGAAUUCUUUUUAACAGGUUGAGGACUAGCAAAAGAAAAAUCAAAAGGCCAAUAAAGUACAUUAACUACCGGG